rnacentral:lncRNA from 1 species
AAGACAGCGCUGCCUACACUCUGGGGUUACUUUCCAAGGGAGAGAACGGGGCCCUGAAAGGCUAAAACCAGAGCAGAAACGAUGAAGGUUGCUUGAGCAGGAAAUCCACCCAUGGCCCAAAGAGGAAAGAUCCGCUUUAAAUGCCUGGGCAUAUACUUCCAAGAACCAGAUGUGGCCUGUUCCUUACACCUCCCUGGGCUUAGAUGACAGCUUGAACUCUGCGGCUGAUGGAAUUGAGCAGAUGGGAAUGACCUGGAAUCUAACACUCUACAAUUCAGACACACCACUGUCCACUUGUCCCUCCCUUCCUGCCACUGGCCCUGCCAGCGUACCUUGUGUACUUCGCAAAGGUCACUGGCUCCUGUUUUAUGUAAUGACUGACAGACGAUCUCGCCCAGCUCAGCAAUGUGAACAGACACCUUGCAUGGUGCCGGUGGUGGGUGCGGUUGUUUCUGGAUGUCAUGGAAGAGGCUGGGGCAUACCAGGGCUUUCCCCAAUUGUGCCUAAAAUAAAUUGGCUCUUGGGAGGU